UUCUCUUUCUGAUGCCGUUUGCCCACAGCGCUGCUGGACCUCUCUGCUCAGAACUCUGGUAUUGUCUCUUGGACUUCUGUCCAUUGUUGAUGUUCAUGCUUAUGCUUCUGAAACUGCACUCUGUGUCUUCAGGGAGAGAUCAGCUUCCUUGGAGCUCGCUUGUUCAGGAUGAGGACGGGAAGCUGCAAAACAAUUCAGCCAAAAAAUUCUGGCUGGGUGUUUCUAUUUUUUCUAAUGAUUUCAACCUAUAAUUUUCUUCCGACUGCUGCCCGUGGAGAAUUGAUCCAGGUCCGUUCCCCACCUGUAAUCGACAGACUGAGAGACUUUCAUUAUUCAGUGUGACUGCAUAUGUUUUCAUCACUCCUAAAGCAACACAUCUCUACUCAUUUUGUUUUAAACUCUGACUUUAAACCCCAAAAAUGAAAUUUUUAUUUGGUCUUAACUGCAAACCCAAAAAUCUUCUUGAUGUUGUUGUUAAUUAUUUUCAUCCACCACACUCCAAAUUAUGUUUUCUUUUGUGUCCAGCAGGGGAAGAAGGUGACCUGUAGCAUCACUGCUUCCCCCAGUUGGAGACAAUUUCCCACUCACACUUCCACGCUUUUUAUUUUCUUUGUUUUCAUGAUUUUCUUUCUCUUUUUUUAUUACCCCAUUGUUUUACACCCACACAUUAACCUGUUAACUCACUCCUUCAACCUCAUUUUCCUUUCACCCCAACAGCUCUCAUAGAGUCAGCAAUCAAAUUCUCCAUUCAUCCUUGAAUACUUGAUCACCUUUAAAUGUCACUGUUAAUUUUAUCAAUUUAUUUAUCAUUACUUUAACACUAAUCCACUGUUUAUUUAUUUUUUUAUUUACUUUAGUUCAUUUCCUCCUCUUUGAUCACUACGAUUUCUUGACUAUUUAUUAUUUCACAGAAAAUCAACUAAUCUACUUUGUCUCCCUUUUUGUCAUCAAGGAAUUCACACACACUCACAAGCUAGUCACUAGCCCCCACCUUUUCUUUCUCUCUCACACACACGCACAUUUUACUCUUCGUUCGUUCCACCUGUGAACCCGCCCCUCGAGGCUGGCUCACACACACCUCAUGCUUCUCGCAGUCCCAUUCAAACUUUCUGCGAGACACUUCUUCCUCUGCUUAUUCCGGACAACGCCCCAAGCGGCACACAGAGCGGGUGCCGUCCGCUCUUGUGCACCUCGCAAAUUAUUCAAACUGCGCCACGGACUCGAUACUGCGGUUUCUCUUCCCCUAAAAGAUAUAAAACCAAAUUAAACCCCCCAAUUGACUUCACAGUUUGCAACAAUU
ensembl:lncRNA